AUUUGCUCGGAUAUUUGCUUCAAAAAGAAUGCAAAUGUACCGGAAAGAAUUAGUGUACUUGAUUUGCCGUCUUGAGAUAAACCCGGAGUAAUGGAGCCCGCUCGUCGAUGGAAGGCAUCGUGUUCAAAUCCCACCCAAGAAUAAAAAUGCAAGACAAUAUCAGAUUUUCACUAGUGUAUAUAACCUUAAAAUUAUUCCGUCAAUUAGGGAUAAUAAAUAAAUGAUUAUAGUAGUUAGUAAUAAUAGCAGUACCAGUAAUAAAAAAAUUAUAUAUUUUAAAUAUUUUUUUGAAUAGCUGAAUAAAAGAUUUCUUCUAUAGCAUCAUAAA